AUUGAACGCUGGCGGCAUGCCUUACACAUGCAAGUCGAACGGCAGCACGGGGCAACCUGGUGGCGAGUGGCGAACGGGUGAGUAAUGCAUCGGAACGUACCUUUCAGGGGGGGAUAACGUAGCGAAAGUUACGCUAAUACCGCAUAUUCUGUGAGCAGGAAAGCAGGGGAUCGCAAGACCUUGCGCUGAUUGAGCGGCCGAUGUCAGAUUAGCUAGUUGGUGAGGUAAAGGCUCACCAAGGCGACGAUCUGUAGCGGGUCUGAGAGGAUGAUCCGCCACACUGGAACGGGGACACGGUCCAGACUCCUACGGGAGGCAGCAGUGGGGAAUUUUGGACAAUGGGGGCAACCCUGAUCCAGCCAUGCCGCGUGAGUGAAGAAGGCCUUCGGGUUGUAAAGCUCUUUCGGCCGGGGAGAAAUCGCACGGGCUAAUACCCUGUGUGGAUGACGGUACCGGAAUAAGAAGCACCGGCUAACUACGUGCCAGCCGCCGCCGUAAAAC
rnacentral:rRNA from 1 species